CGAGAUUUUCCGUUGUUAACAGCAAGUGGUUAUGUCGCUUUUAAUAUUUUUCUGAUUUUUUUAUAGAAAAAGUGAUUUUUCUGAGCAUUAUUUGAAUUUAUUUUGUUCCUUAAGGCCCGUUUAUUCUUCUGAAAGUAAAUGUUAUUAAUAUGGCACACCCAGCGCAUAAAGACCACCUGAAUAAAGAGACCUUAAAGAAAUAACCCCAUAUUACGGAGGCUUUCAUACCCCUUAUAUAAUUUUGAUGUUUGGCCUUUAUUAUGGUUUACAAUUGGUUUUGCAUUAUCUGAUUAAAAAGCUUUUGUACAACAAAAUCAUUGGAUGUAUACAGUUCCAGGGCAGUGCAAUAAUUAUCCUUUUGAUGAAUAUUACAAACAAUGCAUCAGUACUAGUAUAUCUAAAAUUUUAUUUCUUUUGGAAUCAAUACUUUCCAGAAGGCUAGAAGUUACACAUAGACAUAAGGAUGUCUGCCAACACAUUGGAUUUUAUAAUAUAUACUUUUUAUAUUACUAUUAAUAGAAUUUAAUAUAAACGAAACUGGUAAUCUAUGAUAACAGAAAAAAUAACAAUUAUAUUUUAACUGUAGGUAUUUUUAGUUAAUAAGUUCUAUUAAAUUAAUUUAUAUUUGUAAAAAAACCGAGUCUAAGAACAUGUUUUAGUCAUUUCUUUUAAUUAGGUAAAAAUUAUGACAUGUAUACAUAUACUGCCCUGUUACUAAAUAAUAUAUCUCUUAUCUAAUGUGUUGAACAAGAUAAGAUCUUCCUUGUUUAUAUUUCCAAAUAAGGUACUUUUAUAUGUCAGAUUUAUUUAGCUGGUAAAUGCCAAAUAAUAUUUUUAGUACGCUUUGUAUCUAUCUCAAAUUGUAGUUCAGUUUUUUUCUUUAACGCGGCAAUAGACAAUAUGAUCGAAAAAAAACCGCGUCAUCGAUGGCUAUGAAAUGAAGGCUGCUGUCAUUUUAUAUGUAAAAUUAUAUGGGAUCGUCAUUUCCAAGCCAACUGGACGCCGGUUUUUUUCGAUACCGCAUGACCGAAUAAAAUCCGCGUCAGCUAUGGCUAUGAAAUGAAGAUCACUGUCAUUUUAUAUGGGAAUUGUCAUCGAUCGUCAUUUCAUAGCCAUCGCUGACGCCGUUUUUAUUCGAUCAUACGGUACUAGUGUAAAAAAAAUCAUAUAACUUUAUAAAUCUUAUGAACACUUAUUAUUGUGUAUUAUUUGAAUAGAAUAUAAAUAAAAUAUAACAACAUAUAGCAAUUAUUUUCCAUUUGA